UCAAGCGGGGCUGCUGGGGUGCAGGUGGUGUCGGCCGGGUGGGCCAGGCUUGGCUCGGGCAUAGGCGUGUGGGCUGCCCGCUCCUCUAGCGGCAGGCCACCCCUGAGCGAUGUGUGCUCUUGAACGGAGACCUGGCGUUGCCUUUCACUGGCCGCGGCACCCACCGGCAAACACGUGAGGAAAACGCAUGUCCAAAGCUUACGAACAAAGUUGGCCUCUUAACCUCAACGAUACCUAACAGGCAAGGCCUUUUUGGUCUGUAGGAAUGAUGGAUCUGUCAGAGCAAGCCACUCGGUCGACUUAGUUAUCCUAAUCCGGUUUACACCAUCGUGUCGCUUAUCAAUCAGUAGUGCUGUAUGGCAGUGAUUUUUGUUUCCACAACUUUAAUGGUGCUUUUAGUGACUAAGCCCCACAAUGCUGUAUGUUAUGCAUUUGCUGUCUAAAGUGGCAUGGUACAGUGUAAUUUUGACUGUUCAGGUUGCUGCUAAAAUAAAUAAGUUGAUUUUUAA